UACGUAGGGUGCAAGCGUUGUCCGGAAUCAUUGGGCGUAAAGCGCGCGUAGGUGGUCAUGUAAGUCCGCUGUGAAAGUCAAAGGCUCAACCUUUGAAAGCCGGUGGAUACUGCAUGACUAGAGUACGGAAGAGGCGAGUGGAAUUCCUGGUGUAGCGGUGAAAUGACGCAGAUAUCAGGAGGAACACCGAUGGCGAAGGCAGGUCUCUGGACAUUAACUGACGCUGAGGAGCGGAAAAGCAUGGGGAGCGAACAGG
rnacentral:rRNA from 1 species